GCAGUUUAAUGUCGGAUGAGCAGUGUUGGUCCGGUGGGGGUGCACUGAUUCCUCUGGGAUGUUAUGUGUGCGUGAAUGAUAAGUUAUUUCACUGCUUUGCAAUAUUGUAAAAUGCCAUCCAUCCAUUUUGAGCUCUUUUACCAGUGGUGUUCAUUGGUGCAGCUGUCCAAACAGGGGCACCCAAACAUCCCCUACCCAACUUCACCAGCUCUUCCAGAUGAAAGUCAAGUCACCUGAAGGACGUUCUCUCUCUAGCUUGUCCUGGGUCCUCCUCCUGGUGGUACAUGCCCACAGUGCCAUACCUAGACGGUUCCCAGAAAACAUCCUGAUCUCAAACCCAAACAACCUCCACUGGCUCCUUUCAAUGUGGGGAAGAAGCGGCUGCUCUUUGAGACCCUACCUAAUCCCUACACAUAAUUUUCAGCAUAGAUGGGGACAGGAAGGUAGAUCAACAGCUUCAUUUCAUUUCACGUUCAGCUUUCUCAUCACUACAACAACAAGUACAACAUCACCAUCACUGGUUAACAGGAAAGGAUGGUUUAGUAGUGGAAACCUCUGCCCACGGCUUGUCUGUCUACCUGCAGAGAGCAUCUGCUGUCAGAUCACUCUAUCCACCAAUCAGCAUUGGAUCGAUGCACAAUGACGCUCAUGUCGAGGAUCGUGCAGUCGGGAUCAUGGAGCACUGCAUGGAAGCAUGUUUACACUGGCUGAACAUUUCUCUCUGUAAGCACAUACACAAAAGAACAAUCGCAGCACCAGAUAUUAACCAUUAUGCAACACCAGUCUGUCAGCCUCAUGCUCCACUGUCCCCUCAGACCAUGAGAUACUUAAACUCUUCCACAUGGAGCAGGAACUCAGAGUGGACGCUCCACCCUUUUCCUACUGAGAACUACGACGUGAGACUUUUAGUCAGAAAAUAUUUAUGUUUAAAUCUUUGCACAUUUAUAAUAUUUGAAGUAAUUUUAUGAUCCAGUUCAACAGACCAACUUACAUCACGCUCUGUUGCCCAGAGAUCAACUUGGCCACACAAUAUAAAGUUACACUAGUCAAUAAAACACUUUUAAAGGC